UGAACGCUGGCGGCGUGCCUAAUACAUGCAAGUCGAGCGAACAGACGAGGAGCUUGCUCCUCUGAUGUUAGCGGCGGAAGGGUGAGUAACACGUGGAUAACCUACCUAUAAGACUGGGAUAACUUCGGGAAACCGGAGCUAAUACCGGAUAACAUGUUGAACCGCAUGGUUCAACAGUGAAAGACGGUCUUGCUGUCACUUAUAGAUGGAUCCGCGCCGCAUUAGCUAGUUGGUAAGGUAACGGCUUACCAAGGCAACGAUGCGUAGCCGACCUGAGAGGGUGAUCGGCCACACUGGAACUGAGACACGGUCCAGACUCCUACGGGAGGCAGCAGUAGGGAAUCUUCCGCAAUGGGCGAAAGCCUGACGGAGCAACGCCGCGUGAGUGAAGAAGGUCUUCGGAUCGUAAAACUCUGUUAUUAGGGAAGAACAAAUGUGUAAGUAACUAUGCACGUCUUGACGGUACCUAAUCAGAAAGCCACGGCUAACUACGUG
rnacentral:rRNA from 1 species